rnacentral:lncRNA from 1 species
AGUGCCCUACACUAUACAAGAUGCCACUGUAGGGACAGGGAUGACCUCUAGCAAGGUGACCCUCAGUGGGCCAGAGGGGGCUUCUGAAGAGAAUUUCUCUAGCUUCUUGGUGUUUCCUGCCUGCUACUUUCAAACAAGGGUCCCAUUUUUAAUGUUUUCCCAGUAAUACCUUAUGAAUGUUAUUGCAAAGCAGCGGGCUAAAUCAACACCACAGGCCCCGUGAUCAAUAUAUGUGAUGAGGACAUUACAUCCUGGUGUUGUUGCCCCAAGUCUUGACGUGAAUCUGACCACAAGGACAAUUCGGACAACCUGAAAUGGUGACGCAUUCUACAAAAUAAACAUCAAUGUCAUGAAAGACAAAGACUCAAGAUUUUCUGCUUAAUGGAGACUAAAGAGAUGCGACAACAGAAUGCCAGGCAUGAUCUUGGAUAUUCUUUUGGCUCAAACAGUCUUAGGACAAUUGAAAAAACGUGAAUGAGGUCUGUAGCUAAUAGAAUUGUGUCAAU